rnacentral:rRNA from 1 species
GAUGAACGCUGGCGGCGUGCCUAAUACAUGCAAGUCGAGCGAACAGACGAGGAGCUUGCUCCUCUGACGUUAGCGGCGGACGGGUGAGUAACACGUGGAUAACCUACCUAUAAGACUGGGAUAACUUCGGGACACCGGAGCUAAUACCGGAUAAUAUAUUGAACCGCAUGGUUCAAUAGUGAAAGACGGUUUUGCUGUCACUUAUAGAUGGAUCCGCGCCGCAUUAGCUAGUUGGUAAGGUAACGGCUUACCAAGGCAACGAUGCGUAGCCGACCUGAGAGGGUGAUCAGCCACACUGGAACUGAGACACGGUCCAGACUCCUACGGGAGGCAGCAGUAGGGAAUCUUCCGCAAUGGGCGAAAGCCUGACGGAGCAACGCCGCGUGAGUGAUGAAGGUCUUCGGAUCGUAAAACUCUGUUAUUAGGAAAGAACAAAUGUGUAAGUAACUAUGCACGUCUUGACGGUACCUAAUCAGAAAGCCACGGCUAACUACGUG